rnacentral:rRNA from 1 species
UACGUAGGAGGCAAGCGUUGUCCGGAAUCACUGGGCGUAAAGCGCGUGUAGGCGGAUCGCUAAGUCUGUGGUGAAAGCGCCUGGCUUAACCGGGCGAGGUCCAUGGAAACUAGCGGUCUGGAGGCCGGUAGAGGGGGUGGAAUUCCGGGUGUAGUGGUGAAAUGCGUAGAUAUCGGGAGGAACACCAGUGGCGAAGGCGACUACCUGGCCCAUUCUUGACGCUGAGGCGCGAAAGCUAGGGGAGCGAACGGG